AAAGAGAGCUUGUCUAAUCUCUAGAAGCCUAUUUAGAAUCAUCCCAACCAUCUCUAGGGCUUAAAAUGCAAACCCUAGAAAUCCCCCAUUAGAGCACCAUGAAGAAAACUAGAGUUUCAUGGUGUUCAAAGCUCUACUACUCUUCUAAAGCCUCUAAAGAGACCAAAACUCUAAAAUCUAAGGUUAAACUCCAAAUCCUAGAGCUCUACAUGCUAAAAACUUAUCUUGGCCCAAGUUCUAGCA
rnacentral:lncRNA from 1 species